rnacentral:sRNA from 1 species
AACCACCAUCAUCGCCAUCAUCACCAUCAUCAUCAUCAUCGCCAUCAUCAUCAUCAUCAUCAUCGCCAUCAUCAUCAUCAUCAUCGUGGCGCUGCAGCCCAGAGAGCCCCGCGGGCGGCAGAACAAUUAGGGUCCCUGCUAGGCUCUUGCUAGGCUGCUGCUAGGCUGAUACUGGGCUGCUAGCCCCGGUUGGCCGCCACGUGCCAACACGGCCUUGUGUGAGAGUGAGAGAGAGUGGAGAGAAAGAGAAGAGAGAGAGAGAGAGAGAGAGAGAGAUGUGAGUGAGUAUGGGUGGAUGGGUGAGUGGGUGAGUUGGGUGAGUUGAGUGUAGGAGCGAGAAUCAAAAGAGCCAGAAAUAUAAAAACAUAGAUAGCAAUAACUAAGAAUAAUCAAAA